GGAGCCCGCGGCCCACGAAUGUUGGGUCGGGGUGCUCAGAUGGCGGAGACACUGGCAAGUUUUUCCUCGGCAACGGUCGGGUUCACCUAGUACAGCUGCUCUUCGGGGUGGUGGGAACGGUUGGUCUCGGUGCGGCUGAGAAGGAAUGUAAGCACCCUGUUGGGUCCUGAAGGAACAACCAUCGUGUUGUUGUUUCAGAGACGUGGCUGGCCUCCUGUGUGGGGGCUGGCAGUCUGCCAGGCAUGGCCUGGCCUCACAUACCGCUGGUCCGUCAAGGAUCGGGUUUUGGUGUGGGGCGGAUCGGGUUGUGGGUUGGU
rnacentral:misc_RNA from 1 species